AACGAACGCUGGCGGCAUGCCUAACACAUGCAAGUCGAACGAAGGCUUCGGCCUUAGUGGCGCACGGGUGCGUAACGCGUGGGAAUCUGCCCUUUGGUUCGGAAUAACAGCUGGAAACGGCUGCUAAUACCGGAUGAUGACGAAAGUCCAAAGAUUUAUCGCCAGAGGAUGAGCCCGCGUUGGAUUAGGUAGUUGGUGGGGUAAAGGCCUACCAAGCCGACGAUCCAUAGCUGGUCUGAGAGGAUGAUCAGCCACACUGGGACUGAGACACGGCCCAGACUCCGACGGGAGGCAGCAGUGGGGAAUAUUGGACAAUGGGCGCAAGCCUGAUCCAGCAAUGCCGCGUGAGUGAUGAAGGCCCUAGGGUUGUAAAGCUCUUUUACCCGGGAAGAUAAUGACUGUACCGGGAGAAUAAGCCCCGGCUAACUCCGUG
rnacentral:rRNA from 1 species